GAAUGUCCCUGUACUUACUGUAAGUCGCUCUGGAUAAGAGCGUCUGCUAAAUGACUAAAUCUUCCCUGAAGAUGCUGCUCUGUAACCCUGAACCCACCUCCCUUCUAAAACCAUCACCAAGGAUACAUUCUCCCCCCCCUACCCCAUCACCAAGGAUACAGGCCAGACCUCUGGACAGCUGGCCCAAAGACCACCCAGCCAUCCUCUCUUCCCUCACAGAGCCUGUGGCACAGACCUGCCCCUGCUUCUCCACUAGAGGGCAGCAGGUCAUAGACAACAUGUCGACCCUCUCUCCUCAAGGAGAAUCCACUCCCACCUCAUGGUAGUUGACACUGGCUACAGAUCCAUAUAAAAACUGUUUUGCCACGACUGUUCUCUUGUAAAAAGAAUAUUUCCAGUGAAAUGUUUCUGCAUUAUGCUGCUGUCUUCCUGUGCCAUCUAGUAGUUGUUUCAAAAACGGUUUCACUACAUGUAUAAACAGCUGUUUUGUUACUUUUAAUGUUCCCCAAAUUAUCGUAUGUGGGAAGCUGGAUUUUGGUUAUUUUGUUUGUGUAAAUCACAACCUUAACAUUUUACAGCAUUUACUUAUUGUGAAUGCUUUUGAACUGUUUUUAAAUAUUUAUUCCACAUUUGCCUGUAGAGAUUUCUCUGGGAGCGAGGUGUUUGCAUAAAGCUU